rnacentral:rRNA from 1 species
GGGUUGUGAGGUUAAGCGACUAAGCGUACACGGUGGAUGCCCUGGCAGUCAGAGGCGAUGAAGGACGUGCUAAUCUGCGAUAAGCGUCGGUAAGGUGAUAUGAACCGUUAUAACCGGCGAUUUCCGAAUGGGGAAACCCAGUGUGAUUCGUCACACUAUCAUUAACUGAAUCCAUAGGUUAAUGAGGCGAACCGGGGGAACUGAAACAUCUAAGUACCCCGAGGAAAAGAAAUCAACCGAGAUUCCCCCAGUAGCGGCGAGCGAACGGGGAGCAGCCCAGAGCCUGAAUCAGUGUGUGUGUUAGUGGAAGCGUCUGGAAAGGCGCGCGAUACAGGGUGACAGCCCCGUACACAAAAAUGCACAUACUGUGAGCUCGAUGAGUAGGGCGGGACACGUGGUAUCCUGUCUGAAUAUGGGGGGACCAUCCUCCAAGGCUAAAUACUCCUGACUGACCGAUAGUGAACCAGUACCGUGAGGGAAAGGCGAAAAGAACCCCGGCGAGGGGAGUGAAAAAGAACCUGAAACCGUGUACGUACAAGCAGUGGGAGCCUCUUUAUGGGGUGACUGCGUACCUUUUGUAUAAUGGGUCAGCGACUUAUAUUCUGUAGCAAGGUUAACCGAAUAGGGGAGCCGAAGGGAAACCGAGUCUUAACUGGGCGUUAAGUUGCAGGGUAUAGACCCGAAACCCGGUGAUCUAGCCAUGGGCAGGUUGAAGGUUGGGUAACACUAACUGGAGGACCGAACCGACUAAUGUUGAAAAAUUAGCGGAUGACUUGUGGCUGGGGGUGAAAGGCCAAUCAAACCGGGAGAUAGCUGGUUCUCCCCGAAAGCUAUUUAGGUAGCGCCUCGUGAAUUCAUCUCCGGGGGUAGAGCACUGUUUCGGCAAGGGGGUCAUCCCGACUUACCAACCCGAUGCAAACUGCGAAUACCGGAGAAUGUUAUCACGGGAGACACACGGCGGGUGCUAACGUCCGUCGUGAAGAGGGAAACAACCCAGACCGCCAGCUAAGGUCCCAAAGUCAUGGUUAAGUGGGAAACGAUGUGGGAAGGCCCAGACAGCCAGGAUGUUGGCUUAGAAGCAGCCAUCAUUUAAAGAAAGCGUAAUAGCUCACUGGUCGAGUCGGCCUGCGCGGAAGAUGUAACGGGGCUAAACCAUGCACCGAAGCUGCGGCAGCGACACUAAGUGUUGUUGGGUAGGGGAGCGUUCUGUAAGCCUGUGAAGGUGUACUGUGAGGUAUGCUGGAGGUAUCAGAAGUGCGAAUGCUGACAUAAGUAACGAUAAAGCGGGUGAAAAGCCCGCUCGCCGGAAGACCAAGGGUUCCUGUCCAACGUUAAUCGGGGCAGGGUGAGUCGACCCCUAAGGCGAGGCCGAAAGGCGUAGUCGAUGGGAAACAGGUUAAUAUUCCUGUACUUGGUGUUACUGCGAAGGGGGGACGGAGAAGGCUAUGUUGGCCGGGCGACGGUUGUCCCGGUUUAAGCGUGUAGGCUGGUUUUCCAGGCAAAUCCGGAAAAUCAAGGCUGAGGCGUGAUGACGAGGCACUACGGUGCUGAAGCAACAAAUGCCCUGCUUCCAGGAAAAGCCUCUAAGCAUCAGGUAACAUCAAAUCGUACCCCAAACCGACACAGGUGGUCAGGUAGAGAAUACCAAGGCGCUUGAGAGAACUCGGGUGAAGGAACUAGGCAAAAUGGUGCCGUAACUUCGGGAGAAGGCACGCUGAUAUGUAGGUGAAGCGACUUGCUCGUGGAGCUGAAAUCAGUCGAAGAUACCAGCUGGCUGCAACUGUUUAUUAAAAACACAGCACUGUGCAAACACGAAAGUGGACGUAUACGGUGUGACGCCUGCCCGGUGCCGGAAGGUUAAUUGAUGGGGUUAGCGCAAGCGAAGCUCUUGAUCGAAGCCCCGGUAAACGGCGGCCGUAACUAUAACGGUCCUAAGGUAGCGAAAUUCCUUGUCGGGUAAGUUCCGACCUGCACGAAUGGCGUAAUGAUGGCCAGGCUGUCUCCACCCGAGACUCAGUGAAAUUGAACUCGCUGUGAAGAUGCAGUGUACCCGCGGCAAGACGGAAAGACCCCGUGAACCUUUACUAUAGCUUGACACUGAACAUUGAGCCUUGAUGUGUAGGAUAGGUGGGAGGCUUUGAAGUGUGGACGCCAGUCUGCAUGGAGCCGACCUUGAAAUACCACCCUUUAAUGUUUGAUGUUCUAACGUUGGCCCCUGAUCGGGGUUGCGGACAGUGUCUGGUGGGUAGUUUGACUGGGGCGGUCUCCUCCUAAAGAGUAACGGAGGAGCACGAAGGUUGGCUAAUCCUGGUCGGACAUCAGGAGGUUAGUGCAAUGGCAUAAGCCAGCUUGACUGCGAGCGUGACGGCGCGAGCAGGUGCGAAAGCAGGUCAUAGUGAUCCGGUGGUUCUGAAUGGAAGGGCCAUCGCUCAACGGAUAAAAGGUACUCCGGGGAUAACAGGCUGAUACCGCCCAAGAGUUCAUAUCGACGGCGGUGUUUGGCACCUCGAUGUCGGCUCAUCACAUCCUGGGGCUGAAGUAGGUCCCAAGGGUAUGGCUGUUCGCCAUUUAAAGUGGUACGCGAGCUGGGUUUAGAACGUCGUGAGACAGUUCGGUCCCUAUCUGCCGUGGGCGCUGGAGAACUGAGGGGGGCUGCUCCUAGUACGAGAGGACCGGAGUGGACGCAUCACUGGUGUUCGGGUUGUCAUGCCAAUGGCACUGCCCGGUAGCUAAAUGCGGAAGAGAUAAGUGCUGAAAGCAUCUAAGCACGAAACUUGCCCCGAGAUGAGUUCUCCCUGACUCCUUGAGAGUCCUGAAGGAACGUUGAAGACGACGACGUUGAUAGGCCGGGUGUGUAAGCGCAGCGAUGCGUUGAGCUAACCGGUACUAAUGAACCGUGAGGCUUAACCUUACAACGCCGAAGGUGUUU